rnacentral:rRNA from 1 species
UACGGAGGAGGCAAGCGUUAUCCGGAAUUAUUGGGCGUAAAGCGUCCGUAGGUGGUUGACCAAGUCUGCUGUCAAAGGGUGGGGCUUAACCUCAUAAAGGCAGUGGAAACUGGUGAGCUAGAGUGCGGUAGGGGUAAGGGGAAUUCCCAGUGUAGCGGUGAAAUGCGUAGAGAUUGGGAAGAACAUCGGUGGCGAAAGCGCCUUGCUGGGCCUGCACUGACACUGAGGGACGAAAGCGUGGGGAGCAAACAGG